ensembl:lncRNA
GCAUUUUAGCCCAUCAUUUUCGAGCCAUCUCAUAAGCUGAAAAUUGCCGUUUGUGAGCCAUUUUCCCCGCUACCAGUACUCAAACAUGCUCUCAUUAGUGAGCUCGGAGGCUCCACCGAGACCUGCCCUCUGAUGCCUACUCGGACCUGCGCUACGACCCCGACUGGCGCUCCAAUCUCGAGGCAUCGGAGCGCUUCAGCGACAGCCCCCUGCACCAAGAGGAGCAUCGGCCACAUCGGCCGGGCUCCCCACGGAGGUCUGGGGGUACGGGAGAAGAGCUGGUCAUAAAAGGAGGCUACGAGUACGUCGUCACCUCCAGUCCCUCUCUUCCCCCCGGCCCACCGAGUGUGUCCCAGGAGGAAACCCAAGGGUCCUACCAUCUGCACCCUCAGCCCAGCCCGGCCACCGGAGGCGUAUCUGGCAACCCAGGCCAUCCCAGAUCCAGAGUCCUCCUCCCUGUAGCGAACCAGACUCUUGGGAAGGGAGACGUGGCCGUCCAACGGGAGUGUAGCCACAGGGACACCGGGGGGUACCGCAAAGUCCCUGCUCAGCCGAGACAGAACGUGCCGGAAACACAAGAGGCGGCGGCGGUCGGGAAACAGUACAAGAAUACUUCAAAAUAUAAGAGUCCUCUUCUGGCGAACAGAAAUCUUGAAGGCACGAGAGUGGACAUUGUCGAGCGCAACAAAAUCACCCUUGGGCGAAACACAUCCAAAUAUGGCUCCUAUCUAAAGGCUCACACUCACAAGCAGGAAACAGACGAUAUGACG